UACGUAGGGCGCAAGCGUUGUCCGGAAUUAUUGGGCGUAAAGAGCUCGUAGGCGGUCUGUCGCGUCCGUUGUGAAAACUCGAGGCUCAACCUCGGGCUUGCGGUGGAUACGGGCAGACUAGAGUGCGGUAGGGGAGACUGGAAUUCCUGGUGUAGCGGUGGAAUGCGCAGAUAUCAGGAGGAACACCGAUGGCGAAGGCAGGUCUCUGGGCCGCAACUGACGCUGAGGAGCGAAAGCAUGGGGAGCGAACAGG
rnacentral:rRNA from 1 species